UACGGAGGGGACUAGCGUUGUUCGGAAUUACUGGGCGUAAAGCGCACGUAGGCGGAUUUGUUAGUCAGGGGUGAAAUCCCGAGGCUCAACCUCGGAACUGCCUUUGAUACUGCAAAUCUCGAGUCCGGAAGAGGUGAGUGGAAUUCCUAGUGUAGAGGUGAAAUUCGUAGAUAUUAGGAAGAACACCAGUGGCGAAGGCGGCUCACUGGUCCGGUACUGACGCUGAGGUGCGAAAGCGUGGGGAGCGAACAGG
rnacentral:rRNA from 1 species